UACGUAGGAGGCGAGCGUUGUCCGGAAUUACUGGGCGUAAAGAGCGCGUAGGCGGCACGGUACGACCGGUGUGAAAGCCCCCGGCUCAACUGGGGAGGGUCACUGGUAACGGCCGAGCUUGGAGUACAGGAGAGGGAAGUGGAACUCCGGGAGUAGCGGUGAAAUGCGUAGAUACCCGGAGGAACACCAGUGGCGAAGGCGGCUUCCUGGCCUGUGACUGACGCUGUGGCGCGAAAGCUAGGGGAGCGAACGGG
rnacentral:rRNA from 2 species